UACGUAGGGGCCGAGCGUUGUCCGGAAUCACUGGGCGUAAAGGGCGCGUAGGCGGUCCGGUAAGCGUGCGGUGAAAGCCCGGGGCUCAACCCCGGGUCGGCCGUGCGGACUGCGGGACUGGAGCCGAUCAGAGGCAGGCGGAAUUCCGGGUGUAGCGGUGGAAUGCGUAGAGAUCCGGAAGAACACCGGUGGCGAAGGCGGCCUGCUGGGGUCUUGGCUGACGCUGAGGCGCGACAGCGUGGGGAGCAAACAGG
rnacentral:rRNA from 1 species